UGGGGAAUUUUGCGCAAUGGGGGAAACCCUGACGCAGCAACGCCGCGUGAGUGGUGAAGGCCUUCGGGUCGUAAAGCUCUGUCAGAGGGGAAGAAAUGCAGGGGUGCUAAUAUCAUCUUUGCUUGACGGUACCCUCAAAGGAAGCACCGGCUAACUCCGUGCCAGCAGCCGCGGUAAUACGGAGGGGUGCGAGCGUUGUUCGGAAUUAUUGGGCGUAAAGCGCGUGUAGGCGGUUUGGUAAGUCUGAUGUGAAAGCCCCGGGCUCAACCUGGGAAGUGCAUUGGAAACUGUCAGACUUGAAUACGGGAGAGGGUAGUGGAAUUCCUAGUGUAGGAGUGAAAUCCGUAGAUAUUAGGAGGAACACCGGUGGCGAAGGCGGCUACCUGGACCGAUAUUGACGCUGAGACGCGAAAGCGUGGGGAGCAAACAG
rnacentral:rRNA from 1 species